GGAAGGGGUGUAUUUAUUAGAUUAAAAACCAUCGUCUUCGGACUUCUUGGUGAUUCAUAAUAACUAAACGUAGCGCAUGGCCUUGAGCUGGCGCAAAAUCAUUCAAAUACCUGCCCUAUCAAGCUUCGAUGUGAGGGUAGUGUCCUCACAUGCUUUUGACGGGUAACGGGGAAUUAGGGUUCGACUCCGGAGAGGGAGCCUGAGAAAUGGCUACCACAUCCAAGGAAGGCAGCAGGCGCGCAAAUUACCCAAUCCCGACUCGGGGAGGUAGUGACAAGAAAUACCGAUACAGGACUCUUUUGGGUCUUGUAAUCGGAAUGAGUACAAUUUAAAACCAUUAACGAGGAACAAUUGGAGGGCAAGUCUGGUGCCAGCAGCCGCGGUAACUCCAGCUCCAAUAGCGUAUAUUAAAGUUGUUGCAGUUAAAAAGCUCGUAGUUGAACCUUGGUUUUGGCUAGCCGGUCCGCCUCACCGCGUGUACUGGUUUGGCCGAAACUUUCCUCUUGGAGAACCGCAUGCCCUUUACUGGGUGUGUUGGGGAACCAGGACUUUUAC
rnacentral:rRNA from 1 species